UUAAAAUCGUACGCAUUCGUAAAGACAGGUAUGAGCAGCGGAGUGACCGUGUUAUAAAUUCGGACGUCUAGUGUGUACUGCGCUUAGCAUGGCUUCCGAAAAAGAGAAGAUGGCGGCUGCCGAGACCAAGUCUCCCUCUAACAAGAGCAACUGCACCUCCCCUGGGAAGAAAGGUGAAACCGACGAGCAUGGCCUACCCACAGAAAAGGACAAAGGAUGCGACACCAACCUGUACCUCUACCAUGAAGAGUUGGAAGACCGGCCCCGAGCGGCCACCUUCCUCAGUUCGCUGGCGAACUACUCGAACACGAUCCCGACGGCGUCGGCAGCAGACCCUGACGUGAAACCGGCGCCCCCCGCCCGCAUGGGCACGCUCAUCGGCGUCUACCUGCCUUGCAUCCAGAACAUCUUCGGUGUCAUCCUCUUCAUCCGUCUAACGUGGGUCGUCGGAACCGCUGGCGCUAUACAAGGAUUCCUGAUCGUGCUUGUUUGUUGUUGUACGACAAUGUUGACUGCCAUCUCGAUGUCAGCGAUCGCGACGAACGGCGUGGUGCCGGCAGGCGGGUCGUACUUCAUGAUAGGACGCGCGCUGGGCCCCGAGUGCGGCGGGGCGGUCGGCAUGCUGUUCUAUACAGGCACCACGCUCGCAGCCGCCAUGUAUAUCGUCGGAGCUGUUGAAAUUGUUUUGACGUACAUGGCGCCGUGGAUGUCGAUCUUCGGGGACUUCACGAAAGACCCCGAGGCGAUGUACAACAACUUCCGCGUGUACGGCACCGGGCUACUGCUCAUCAUGGGCAUGGUGGUGUUCGUGGGCGUCAAGUUUGUGAACAAGUUCGCCACCGUCGCCCUCGCUUGUGUCAUCCUCUCCAUCACAGCGGUGUACGUCGGUAUCUUCGUCAACUUCAAUGGAAACGAUAAGUUGCAGAUGUGCGUGUUAGGCAAACGCCUGCUAAAAGACAUUAACAUCAACAACUGCACGAAGGAGAUUGGCGCGCCGCUGCAUCAGCUGUUCUGCCCCAACAAUACUUGCGACCCUUACUAUCUGGCACAUGAUGUGUCUGUCGUGCAGGGUAUUAAGGGUUUGAAAAGCGGAGUAUUCUUCGACAACCUACAAGACUCGUUCCUCCAACUGGGCCAGUACAUUGCGUACGGCAAAGAACCUGAUGACAUCGAACAGAUGGAGAGACCCACCUACAACCAAGUGUAUGCCGACCUCACUACCACCUUCACCAUACUCAUCGGAAUAUUCUUCCCUUCGGUCACUGGUAUAAUGGCUGGUUCCAAUCGUUCCGGUGACCUCGCGGAUGCUCAGAAGAGCAUUCCUAUUGGUACCAUCUGCGCUAUCCUGACGACUUCCACCGUGUACCUGUCCUGUGUGCUACUAUUUGCCGGCACCGUUGAUAAUCUACUGCUAAGAGACAAGUUCGGUCAAUCAAUCGGUGGUAAGCUAGUGGUAGCGAACAUGGCGUGGCCGAACCAGUGGGUGAUCCUGAUCGGGUCGUUCCUGUCGACCCUGGGAGCUGGUCUCCAGUCCCUCACCGGAGCGCCGCGGUUACUGCAGGCCAUUGCCAAGGAUGAGAUCAUUCCGUUCCUGGCACCUUUCGCCGUUUCAUCGAGCCGGGGUGAACCAACAAGGGCCCUGCUGCUAACAAUGGUGAUCUGCCAGUGCGGUAUUCUCCUGGGUAACGUCGACAUCCUCGCUCCCCUACUCUCCAUGUUCUUCCUCAUGUGUUACGGCUUCGUGAACCUCGCCUGCGCUCUUCAAACUCUCCUCAAGACUCCCAACUGGAGACCUCGUUUCAAGUACUACCACUGGUCGCUGUCCUUAGCCGGUCUUACGCUGUGUAUCUCGAUCAUGUUCAUGACGUCAUGGUUCUAUGCUCUCAUCGCGAUGGGUAUGGCCGGUCUCAUCUAUAAGUACAUUGAAUACCGCGGAGCGGAGAAGGAAUGGGGUGACGGCCUGCGAGGUCUUGCUCUAUCUGCAGCGCGUUAUUCUCUGCUACGUCUCGAACAAGGACCGCCUCACACCAAGAACUGGCGCCCACAAGUACUGGUGCUCGCCAAGCUGAACAAUGAACUGAUGCCUACUUAUAGGAAGAUGCUUGCCUUUGCCAGUCAACUGAAAGCUGGCAAGGGUCUGACGGUAUGCGUGUCGGUGCUGGGCGGCGACUUCCCGCGCCGCGCCGGCGACGCGUCCUCCGCGCGACAGAACCUGCGCAAGGUCAUGGACGAGGAGAAGGUCAAGGGCUUCGUGGAUGUGCUCGUCUCGCCCGACAUUGCUGAAGGACUUAGCCAUUUGGUCCAAACGACAGGUCUGGGCGGUCUAAAGCCCAACACGGUGAUAGUAGGCUGGCCGUACGGCUGGCGCCAGGCGGAGCGGUCGGCGCCGCGCUGGCAGCACUUCCUGCACACCGUGCGGGCGGUGGCUGCCGCGAGGAUGGCCAUGCUCGUGCCUAAGGGGAUUAAUUUCUUCCCUGAUUCUACUGAGAAGGUAUCCGGCAACAUCGACAUCUGGUGGAUCGUGCACGACGGCGGCAUGCUGAUGCUGCUGCCGUUCCUGCUGAAGCAGCACCGCACCUGGAAGAACUGCAAGAUGCGCAUCUUCACCGUCGCGCAGAUGGAAGACAACUCCAUACAGAUGAAGAAGGACCUCAAAAUGUUCUUGUACCAGCUCCGGCUUGAAGCUGAAGUUGAAGUCGUUGAAAUGACGGACAGCGAUAUCUCUGCCUACACUUACGAGCGAACCCUGAUGAUGGAACAACGCAACCAGAUGCUGCGCGAACUGCGGUUGAACAAGAAGGAAACCAUGGGCAUGAUGCAAAAUUUCGUGGAUUAUCGUGAAAACGCUGAGGAGAAGUUACCUUUGGUUCAAGCGAUUGUUGAUCAUCACCACGCCGACGUGAAGACUGCCAGCAAGGUUCGGUUUGCGGAGCCCGGAGACGAAGCACCCACCGACGCGCCAUCGCCGCCUCUAGCCGACACUGAUGAUAAAGAUAAAGAUGACAAGUGCGAGGACGCCAGCCCGCCGCCCGACGACAAGCACAAGGACGCCGCCAACGGGGACCUCGCCAAGCCCAAGCCCAACCUCGCAGACAUCACGCCUGACGAGGGCACGGUGCGGCGCAUGCACACGGCGGUGAAGCUCAACGAGGUCAUCGUGUCGCGCUCGCACGACGCGCAGCUCGUCAUCCUCAACCUGCCCGGCCCGCCCAGGGACACCAACAUCGACCGGGAGUCCAAUUACAUGGAGUUCCUGGAGGUGCUGACGGAGGGGCUGGAGAAGGUGCUGAUGGUGCGCGGCGGCGGGCGCGAGGUCAUCACCAUCUACUCGUGAGCUGUGACCGCUUCACUCAUAUUCCUAGUAUUUUCUUACGAUCUUGUAUUCGGCAUCCGUUUUACUUGUAAAUGUUAGCUUAAUUCUACGAUACGUUUUGUUGAAUUUGCUGUUUAGAGUGACGUUGUUUUGAAAUUUAUUCACUGUUGUAUAGAUAUUUAUGGAUAUGAUAUGUAUCUAAUGAGGAGCCUUAUCUGUCGGACGUUAGCUCUAAGUUCGUUGUUUUGUUAUUGAAUAGAUUAGCUAAGAAUUACUUUAAGCACCCGAGUGGUCUCUUGUUUACCGACAUGCCAUAUAGUUUUAUUUUAUUGCGAAAGCGUUAGCUCUUAGAUGUUAAUUUGUAUCAUUUUUAUACAUAUUUUUAUUUUCUAUGGUUGUUAACACGACGUAGAUAUACUUUGUAAGAGUAUAUACUUUAACCAUAAAGAUUUUUAACUAUACAAAAAUAAUAUUUUGUAAAUAUUAUUCUGUUCUAAGGUUUUUACAUCUGCUCAACUUAAAACAUACCGUGGGACUGAUGCCGGAAGUUAUAAACGAUCCGAACUUUACGCUAACUGGGUAGAUUUCGACUACUUUUCAUUUGAAGUCAUUUCUAGUCACUUUUUGAUAUUAGAUCAAUCUAAUACAUACACAAUUCGUUAUACCAAAAAGCCAUGAAGUCAUUAGUGGUCAACAAGGCGAACCCUCGAGUUUUUAUGGUGAGUAGAUUGAGCAGCAACCAGACCGCGCUCAGAGGGAUACCUAGGUAACUAUUAACUAUUCGUAAUUUAGUAUUAGCGUGAAGAUUUAAUAGUUAAAUGCGAUCCCCGUCGUAAUAAUUAACUUAGUGAAUAACUUGAAAACUUAUUGCGCACAUUCGCGUAGGUAGAUGAUUUCUUACUGUGAUCGUUUGAAUAAAGUUUUUAUUGUUUUAGUUUAACUUAAGUGGUAGCGGUAAUUACAUCCGGACAGUAGUAGCCAGCCAUCAGCCGCAUUUUCAUAUUUGCUAUUCUAUUUAACGAGUUGCCUUAACUUGCUCGUGCUAUACUUUAAACAAAAGCUGAUAUUGUGAAACCCUGCUAUCGAAAAACGCAGUACAAAUUGUACCUACCAUGACGCUAUUCCUUCGCAUGACGCCACGAGAAAAUGAACAACCCACCCAUUUACCAAUCGGGUACAAUUUCCAAUCAGAAAUUCAAAAUAACUGGAUUUUGUUCACUUUUAAUAGAAAUAGCUUCGGCGUUAAUAAAUUAAUUAACUUUCAAAUAUCAUCUGUAAGUAAACUAUAAUAUGAGCAUAGAAGCCACCUCUGCGUAUAAAACUGCGUAUGAAGAAAACUUGUCAAUUUUUCAUUUACCGUUACACCACAUUAGUUAAGGAACUAUUUCUUAUUCGUAUAAAGAGUGUUAGAUAACUGCCAAAUAGGAAUCGGUGUUGUAAAAUAUCCUAGUCCAUAAGUGAGCUACCAUCUACUCGGUAAUAAUAACGUCGUUUAUGAAAAUUGUAAACGUUUUACAGUUAUAAACAUUACUACAACACUUUGUAGACGAAAUAGUUAGAUGACUGUAUUGCCUUUCUUUCACAAAGUAAUCGACAUAAGGAGUUUACCAUCGGAUAGCAUUCCUUUAACGUUCAUUUCGAACUGUAACUGUUAUUUUUAAAAUUAUCAAUUAUUACCUAAAAUAAUGUCCUAAGAUUUUACGAUAGCAUCAACUCGAAUUUUGUACAAGAGUUGAUAUUUUUAAGAUUUCCUCAAAUAAAAAAUAGUUUAACCUUUUCAUAACUCGUACUCACAAAUACAAGUAACAUCAUGUAAUGUUCGCGCCCCUCCGCGUUACGAACAAAGUAGGAAUAAAUUCGAAGGCAUUUAAGUAUUCCUUUCUGUCAUGGUUGUAGAUGCCAUAAUAAUAAAUUAAGUACGUAGAUGUUAGUUAUUCUAUGAAUUCGACUGUCGACUAACCGUCUAUGAACUGCCUGAGUGCAAGCCCUGACCAUUCGGUCGCCUAGCAACCAGACACCUAGCCGCGGCCAUCCCUCUGUCUAUCAUUGAAGCAUAGCGAUAUUAUAACAAAUUAAAUCACUUAAUAAGAUUAAGUAUAAAUCAUUCUAAAUUACUUAUAUUAAUAUAAACAUAUAUAUUUCAACAUUUGACAACUAUGGUGAUUAUACAUCGCUCAUUUUAAUUUUGUAUUUGUGUUCUCUAUCACUUAUAUAGUGAUAGGUAAUACACAGGUCAAAUGAAAUAGUGAUCACAUAUCUUCCUUUCACAUAGAAAAAAUAUAUAUCUACGUGAUAUUUAUGCCUAUUAAUAGGUAAUGGACGAUAAUUUAUUUAAAAAAUGGAAUUAUAUUGAAUUAUAUAUCGAAAUUAUUUAAAUUUAAAAUUAUGUACCUAGUAGGUAUUAUUACGUCUAAGUCGAAUUUGUGAAAUUGGUAAAUUAUGACAACAUAAUUUGUAUUCUGUAAGAACAUAUGAUUGUAUUUUAAUGUAUUUUUAUUUUACAAAAUUGAUGAUUGUAUUAAAGGCUCAAUAAGCAUUCCAAAAUAAUUAAUAAUUUAUAGAUGUACACAACGCAUCACAAACGUCGGGCGCCUGCAAAAAGACAUUACGCCUGGGCAUAACUGUGUUACUUGAAUCCCUAACAAGAGUCGGCGCUCCACACCUACUUACUUCAAUGUUACCUUCUCGAUAACAACAUUGUAGAUAGUUCCAAUUAUUAAGUAGGACACUAGUUAAUGUUUGAUGCCCACAAUAACGUCAUACAUCAUGUGCCAAACAUCAUUAUUUCAGUGAGUAAAUGACAAGGUGGCAAAUAUUUAGAGUAGGUCAUCCGACUUACAUUAUUAGAGUAACUACAAAAUCAUGUCUCAGUGAAGUAUCAGUAAUGUGUGUAAUACUUAUAAUAAAUAGCUUUCGGAGAUACAUUAUGUGUUAGAAAUAUCACGUUUACUAACAUAGUUGUAAUUCAACAACAUGCACAUACAUAGUGAACCUUCUCGGAAUAGAUUUAAAAUCGUGUUCGUAAUUUCAGUCGUUACAUUUUAGCUUUACUAAAAUAAAAUCAUUAAAUAUUAUUAAAUAAUUGUACAGUCGCCAACGUAUCGUCAGCCACAGGUAUGAUUGAAUACGCUGGUGAACGCGCUUGGCGAUUGGACUUGACAAGUAUCAAGUAAUUAUUGAUAUAAAACUAUAAAAUUACCUAUUUUAGAUUUUAGGCUGUGAGUCAGCGUAAACACAUUCUUUACAAUUUAAUAUUCAAGCUAGAGUUGCUGUGAUACACCAUUAUGGCUAUAAAAUUAUAGUGUAGUCAUUUCUGGCUAUAUGAAUUACAAUGGGAGAUAACGUGGAUGAACGUUCAACGCCAUAUUCUAUCUGUGAUUUCACUGAUGUUUAGAUGCACCUUUAUCCGCGUAACCUUACAAAUCCCUGAAGUCUCAUUCCCAUUCCCGACUUGAGUACGACUCGUAAAGUUUUGCCUCACGAUUUGUAAUCUGUAACUAUCUUAUUACAAAUCACAAAAUACAUAAUGAAAAUGUAACUAACAAGGCUGUCUCUACUUUGAAGAUAUUUUGAAAAUUGUAUUUUAUAAAAGCCUAUGUCUAACAGCCAGAAAUGUAACUAGAUUGUCUAUUAUUGAAACAAAUCUAUUUGAAAACUAUUCUUGGUGUUGGAAAUAGAAAGCGACAAAGUUAGCCUACAUCAUGCUACAUCUCAAGAUAUUGAGCAAUAACGAAAGUAUAUAGAUAGUGAUCGCUGGGCGGUAUGCUAUUUAACUUAUAAAUAUUAUGUAUUUUGAUCUGGAACGAGUUUUUCAUAGAAAAAAUAUUUCGAAGUGUAAAAGUUGUUUAAGAAAUUAUUAAAAUAUUCAAAUAAUAAUUCUAGAGAGUUAGUCAGUGAGUAAUUAUAAGAAAAGAUGUUACGAGUAUAAUAAAAUAAAUAAUAAAAAAGA